rnacentral:rRNA from 1 species
UUAAGUUAUUAAGGGCGCACGGUGGAUGCCUUGGCACUAGAAGCCGAUGAAGGACGUUACUAACGACGAUAUGCUUUGGGGAGCUGUAAGUAAGCUUUGAUCCAGAGAUUUCCGAAUGGGGAAACCCAGCAUGAGUUAUGUCAUGUUAUCGAUAUGUGAAUACAUAGCAUAUCAGAAGGCACACCCGGAGAACUGAAACAUCUUAGUACCCGGAGGAAGAGAAAGAAAAUUCGAUUCCCUUAGUAGCGGCGAGCGAAACGGGAAGAGCCCAAACCAACAAGCUUGCUUGUUGGGGUUGUAGGACACUCUAUACGGAGUUACAAAGGACGACAUUAGACGAAUCAUCUGGAAAGAUGAAUCAAAGAAGGUAAUAAUCCUGUAGUCGAAAAUGUUGUCUCUCUUGAGUGGAUCCUGAGUACGACGGAGCACGUGAAAUUCCGUCGGAAUCUGGGAGGACCAUCUCCUAAGGCUAAAUACUCUCUAGUGACCGAUAGUGAACCAGUACCGUGAGGGAAAGGUGAAAAGCACCCCGGAAGGGGAGUGAAAUAGAACCUGAAACCGUGUGCUUACAAGUAGUCAGAGCCCGUUAAUGGGUGAUGGCGUGCCUUUUGUAGAAUGAACCGGCGAGUUACGAUUUGAUGCAAGGUUAAGCAGUAAAUGUGGAGCCGUAGCGAAAGCGAGUCUGAAUAGGGCGUUUAGUAUUUGGUCGUAGACCCGAAACCAGGUGAUCUACCCUUGGUCAGGUUGAAGUUCAGGUAACACUGAAUGGAGGACCGAACCGACUUACGUUGAAAAGUGAGCGGAUGAACUGAGGGUAGCGGAGAAAUUCCAAUCGAACCUGGAGAUAGCUGGUUCUCUCCGAAAUAGCUUUAGGGCUAGCCUCAAGUGAUGAUUAUUGGAGGUAGAGCACUGUUUGGACGAGGGGCCCCUCUCGGGUUACCGAAUUCAGACAAACUCCGAAUGCCAAUUAAUUUAACUUGGGAGUCAGAACAUGGGUGAUAAGGUCCGUGUUCGAAAGGGAAACAGCCCAGACCACCAGCUAAGGUCCCAAAAUAUAUGUUAAGUGGAAAAGGAUGUGGCGUUGCCCAGACAACUAGGAUGUUGGCUUAGAAGCAGCCAUCAUUUAAAGAGUGCGUAAUAGCUCACUAGUCGAGUGACACUGCGCCGAAAAUGUACCGGGGCUAAACAUAUUACCGAAGCUGUGGAUUGUCCUUUGGACAAUGGUAGGAGAGCGUUCUAAGGGCGUUGAAGCAUGAUCGUAAGGACAUGUGGAGCGCUUAGAAGUGAGAAUGCCGGUGUGAGUAGCGAAAGACGGGUGAGAAUCCCGUCCACCGAUUGACUAAGGUUUCCAGAGGAAGGCUCGUCCGCUCUGGGUUAGUCGGGUCCUAAGCUGAGGCCGACAGGCGUAGGCGAUGGAUAACAGGUUGAUAUUCCUGUACCACCUAUAAUCGUUUUAAUCGAUGGGGGGACGCAGUAGGAUAGGCGAAGCGUGCGAUUGGAUUGCACGUCUAAGCAGUAAGGCUGAGUAUUAGGCAAAUCCGGUACUCAUUAAGGCUGAGCUGUGAUGGGGAGAAGACAUUGUGUCUUCGAGUCGUUGAUUUCACACUGCCGAGAAAAGCCUCUAGAUAGAAAAUAGGUGCCCGUACCGCAAACCGACACAGGUAGUCAAGAUGAGAAUUCUAAGGUGAGCGAGCGAACUCUCGUUAAGGAACUCGGCAAAAUGACCCCGUAACUUCGGGAGAAGGGGUGCUCUUUAGGGUUAACGCCCAGAAGAGCCGCAGUGAAUAGGCCCAAGCGACUGUUUAUCAAAAACACAGGUCUCUGCUAAACCGUAAGGUGAUGUAUAGGGGCUGACGCCUGCCCGGUGCUGGAAGGUUAAGAGGAGUGGUUAGCUUCUGCGAAGCUACGAAUCGAAGCCCCAGUAAACGGCGGCCGUAACUAUAACGGUCCUAAGGUAGCGAAAUUCCUUGUCGGGUAAGUUCCGACCCGCACGAAAGGCGUAACGAUUUGGGCACUGUCUCAACGAGAGACUCGGUGAAAUCAUAGUACCUGUGAAGAUGCAGGUUACCCGCGACAGGACGGAAAGACCCCGUGGAGCUUUACUGUAGCCUGAUAUUGAAAUUCGGCACAGCUUGUACAGGAUAGGUAGGAGCCUUUGAAACGUGAGCGCUAGCUUACGUGGAGGCGCUGGUGGGAUACUACCCUAGCUGUGUUGGCUUUCUAACCCGCACCACUUAUCGUGGUGGGAGACAGUGUCAGGCGGGCAGUUUGACUGGGGCGGUCGCCUCCUAAAAGGUAACGGAGGCGCUCAAAGGUUCCCUCAGAAUGGUUGGAAAUCAUUCAUAGAGUGUAAAGGCAUAAGGGAGCUUGACUGCGAGACCUACAAGUCGAGCAGGGUCGAAAGACGGACUUAGUGAUCCGGUGGUUCCGCAUGGAAGGGCCAUCGCUCAACGGAUAAAAGCUACCCCGGGGAUAACAGGCUUAUCUCCCCCAAGAGUUCACAUCGACGGGGAGGUUUGGCACCUCGAUGUCGGCUCAUCGCAUCCUGGGGCUGUAGUCGGUCCCAAGGGUUGGGCUGUUCGCCCAUUAAAGCGGUACGCGAGCUGGGUUCAGAACGUCGUGAGACAGUUCGGUCCCUAUCCGUCGUGGGCGUAGGAAAUUUGAGAGGAGCUGUCCUUAGUACGAGAGGACCGGGAUGGACAUACCUCUGGUGUACCAGUUGUCGUGCCAACGGCAUAGCUGGGUAGCUAUGUGUGGACGGGAUAAGUGCUGAAAGCAUCUAAGCAUGAAGCCCCCCUCAAGAUGAGAUUUCCCAACUUCGGUUAUAAGAUCCCUCAAAGAUGAUGAGGUUAAUAGGUUCGAGGUGGAAGCAUGGUGACAUGUGGAGCUGACGAAUACUAAUCGAUCGAAGACUUAAUC